GAGUUUGAUCCUGGCUCAGGAUGAACGCUGGCGGCGUGCUUAACACAUGCAAGUCGAGCGAAGCAUUUAAGACGAUCUCUUCGGAUUGAGUCUUAUAUGACUGAGCGGCGGACGGGUGAGUAACGCGUGGGUAACCUGCCUCAUACAGGGGGAUAACAGUUAGAAAUGACUGCUAAUACCGCAUAAGCGCACAGGGCUGCAUGGCCUGGUGUGAAAAACUCCGGUGGUAUGAGAUGGACCCGCGUCUGAUUAGCUAGUUGGAGGGGUAACGGCCCACCAAGGCGACGAUCAGUAGCCGGCCUGAGAGGGUGAACGGCCACAUUGGGACUGAGACACGGCCCAGACUCCUACGGGAGGCAGCAGUGGGGAAUAUUGCACAAUGGGGGAAACCCUGAUGCAGCGACGCCGCGUGAAGGAAGAAGUAUCUCGGUAUGUAAACUUCUAUCAGCAGGGAAGAAAAUGACGGUACCUGACUAAGAAGCCCCGGC
rnacentral:rRNA from 1 species